rnacentral:rRNA from 1 species
UACGUAGGGGCAAGCGUUGUCCGGAAUGACUGGGCGUAAAGGGCGCGUAGGCGGCCUUGUAAGUCUUAUGUGAAAGUCCUGCUUUCAAGGUGGGAAUUGCAUGGGAAACUAUGAGGCUUGAGUGCAGAAGAGGCAAGUGGAAUUCCCAGUGUAGCGGUGAAAUGCGUAGAGAUUGGGAGGAACACCAGUGGCGAAGGCGACUUGCUGGGCUGUAACUGACGCUGAGGCGCGAAAGCGUGGGGAGCGAACAGGAUUAGAUA